rnacentral:piRNA from 1 species
UGGCUCAAUGGGAAAGAAGGUGUUAGACA